rnacentral:rRNA from 1 species
GACGAACGCUGGCGGCGUGCUUAACACAUGCAAGUCGAACGGAAAGGCCCUGCUUUUGUGGGGUGCUCGAGUGGCGAACGGGUGAGUAACACGUGAGUAACCUGCCCUUGACUUUGGGAUAACUUCAGGAAACUUGGGCUAAUACCGGAUAGGAUCUCCUGCUGCAUGGUGGGGGUUGGAAAGUUUCGGCGGUUGGGGAUGGACUCGCGGCUUAUCAGCUUUUUGGUUGGGUAGUGGCUUACCAAGGCUUUGACGGGUAGCCGGCCUGAGAGGGUUACCGGAGAAAUUGGGACUGAGAGACGGCCCAGACUAGAACGGGAGGAAGCAGUGGGGAAUAUUGCAAAAUGGGAGGAAGCCUGAUGAAGAAAAGCGGCGUGCGGGAUGACGGCCUUCGGGUUGUAAACCGCUUUCGAAUGUGACGAAGCGUGAGUGACGGUAAUGGGUAAAGAAGCACCGGCUAACUACGUG